rnacentral:lncRNA from 1 species
CUCCUGGUACAGGCAGAAACGGCCAGGUGGGGGGAUGCUAGCCCGGUCGGCGGGAUCAGGAAGCUCUAGAUCGUACUCCGAAGGAACUCCAUACUGAACCCUUAUCAAUAAGAGUUCAUCUGGAGUCAGAGAAUAGAGAAUGGCACCCGGCACAAAGAUCGGGUGAGGCCCAGCUCCAGAUGUGGGUUCAUCUACAGUGUGGGGGUUCUGGGGGGCUGAGGUGGAUGAACUCCUGGAACCACUAGAGGC